rnacentral:misc_RNA from 1 species
GAUGAAGAACGCAGCAAAAUGCGAUAAGUAAUGCGAAUUGCAGAAUCCGUGAGUCAUCGAAUCUUUGAACGCACAUUGCGCCCUCUGGUAUUCCGGAGGGCAUGCCUGUUCGAGCGUCAUUAUCACCCCUCAAGCCCGGCUUGUUGUUGGAUGCAGCGCUUAUCCCGCUCCUCCCAAAGAUAAUGACGGCGUCUGCGACGACUCCUGUACACUGAGCUUUCGGGCACGUACACGGCUAGAAGUCCAGACCCGGUCGCCGUCCCCCCCGCGGGGACACCCAUUACCACAAGGUUGACCUCGGAUCAGGUAGGAAUACCCGCUGAACUUAAGCAUAUCAAUAAGCGGAGGA